AUUGAACGCUGGCGGCAGGCUUAACACAUGCAAGUCGAACGAGUGGCGGACGGGUGAGUAAUGCUUGGGAAUCUAGCUUAUGGAGGGGGAUAACUACGGGAAACUGUAGCUAAUACCGCGUACCAUCAGAUGACCCCAUAUGGGAUUAGCUGGUAGGUAAGGUAACGGCUUACCUAGGCGACGAUCCCUAGCUGGUCUGAGAGGAUGAUAAGCCCCACGUGGACUGCGACACGGCCCAGACUCCGACGGGAGGCAGCAGUGGGGAAUAUUGCACAAUGGGCGCAAGCCUGAUGCAGCCAUGCCGCGUGUAUGAAGAAGGCCUUCGGGUUGUAAAGUACUUUCAGUCGGGAGGCGUUACCGACAGAAGAAGCACCGGCUAACUCCGUGCCAGCAGCCGCGGUAAUAC
rnacentral:rRNA from 1 species